rnacentral:lncRNA from 1 species
AGAACAAAAAAAAUAGGAAAGAAGUAGCAAAAGUAAAGAUCAACAAAAGAAGAAAAAGUAAAACGAUUGAAGAAGAAACAAAAUUGAGAAAAGAUGAAGAAUAAAUAAAGAAUGGGAAUAGGAAAAAAUGUGAACAACGUGAGAAAGAAAUGGAAUUUUGGGAAAAAAUAAAAAUAAAGUAAAACUCCUCAUUUCCUUCAACUACCCACUAAAUCUCACAAAAUCUAGAGCACUAACCCCAUCCAACCUCCCCAUAAUUCCAAUUCCAUCCAACCACUACUACAUACACG